UACGUAGGGUGCAAGCGUUAAUCGGAAUUACUGGGCGUAAAGCGUGCGCAGACGGUUGCGUAAGUCAGAUGUGAAAGCCCCGGGCUCAACCUGGGAAUUGCAUUUGAGACUGCGUAGCUAGGGUGCGGAAGAGGGAAGCGGAAUUUCCGGUGUAGCGGUGAAAUGCGUAGAUAUCGGAAGGAACACCAGUGGCGAAAGCGGCUCCUGGUCCAGCACCGACGUCAGGCACGAAAGCGUGGGGAGCAAACAGGG
rnacentral:rRNA from 1 species